CCAAGACCUAGAAGUCCCGCAGCACCAACAAAGAGGCCCUCGUUGUCGUGGCCGCAACCAAACGCCACGCGUCCCACGCGGGUGCCGCGAAACGUCAACGUUUCGGUGGAGAACUCUCCGAACGUGAAGGAGCCAUCGCCAUAAGAUACCUGGUAGAGGCACUUCUGGCGGUUACCGCAGCCAGGAGAAUCGAGCCGACGACACAAGGGGGACCCACAGGAAAUCCCGG
rnacentral:lncRNA from 1 species